rnacentral:lncRNA from 1 species
GCACCAAAUGAAAGAGAUUAAAGACUUGCGGUCAACAGUCGUUGAAUUAGAAAAGGAAAAUGAAAUGUUGAAUGCAACAGUUGAUGAAAAAAUAAAGGAAAACCUCCGAUUGGAUACAGAGUUGCAGUCAUUGACAAAAGAAAAAGAAAGGUCAUUAACAAUCAAGUCCAUUACCAGAAUGAUAACAUAUUAUGAACUGUUCAAGGUUUUGAUAAUGAGCAUAAAACAUUUAUUUUUUUAACAAUCAUUUAUAUUUUGACAUUUAGUCAAUGAUGAAUUAUCUGACUGUUGGUGCAUGAAAUAUUGAAGAUUAUAUACUACUAGAAUAUGAAAAUCAUGAUUGUUAUUUAAAAACAUGCGUAAGGGUUUAAUGAUAAUAACAUACCACAAGGUUAGGAAUGUAGAGAUAUAUAAUACAACUUAAAUGAACUACAAUGUUUGUUAAAUAGCAUACAAAUUUUAAAAAGGUAUAAUUCAAUGAAAAUGCAUAUUACAGGAUAACAGUUGAUAAAAAAGUCUUACAAACAGAAAUGGACGAAUUAAGAAAAGAAUUGAUUGACAAACAUGUAUUGUUAGAUCUGGCAC